GCCUCGGUUGCUUAGGGGUAAAAGCAUUAUAUUGAAGCUAUAAAUAUGGAAGUUCAACUCUUUCCCGGGGCA
rnacentral:tRNA from 1 species